UGGAAGUUUCUUCUUUUUACAAUUUCAUAUACGCUAAAAACUAUUUAUAUGAAGAAAAUUAACUCUAUAAAUUAUAUAGUGAUAAAAUCAUUUGUUACAUAUACAACGGAGAAAUAUGGUUGAAAUUGUCAACUUUAUUUAUGUUAUGAUUAUCUUUCUUUCCUUAUAUCAUGUUACAAAGAAUGUCGUUGGUUCUGGAUGUGUUCAAGAUUAUGAUUGUCCACAAGAUAUGUGUCCGCCUGGUUUAAAAGCAAAAUGUUUUUAUGAAACUUGUCUAUGUGCUGGAAAGAUGUUGCAAUAGAUUUUGUGACCACAUGAUUUUGUAUUUAGCACUAGACGCAAGAUUUACACAAAUGAUUUGCUAAAGUAUUUUAUCAUUUAUUAUGCAUGCUGGCGCACAGUAAAUUGAAUUUUUUUUUUUCUUUUUCUAAUUACACAAACCUUGUUGUAGUUUUGUCAUGGUAAUCUAAGAUCAUGGUAAAGAAAUUAAAUAAGGAAGCAAAUAAUAUUUAUAUUGUCUUUUUCUCUUUUAA